UACAGAGGGGGCGAGCGUUGUUCGGAAUUACUGGGCGUAAAGGGCGCGUAGGCGGCCUGCUAAGUCAUACGUGAAAUCCCCCGGCUCAACCGGGGAACUGCGUGUGAUACUGGCGGGCUUGAAUUCGGGAGAGGGAUGCGGAAUUCCAGGUGUAGCGGUGAAAUGCGUAGAUAUCUGGAGGAACACCGGUGGCGAAGGCGGCAUCCUGGACCGAUAUUGACGCUGAUGCGCGAAAGCCAGGGGAGCAAACGGG
rnacentral:rRNA from 1 species